AAUGCAUCCCCAUCUACCAGCUUCGGCCCCUGUUUUCAGCGAAAGGGGAUGGAGCCGAGUAAAAAUUAGAGCCGGAGGGCGGCGUCGGUGGCGGCUACGUCGGCGACAUUCUCGCACACCGAUUCCCUGCUCGCGUCGCCGGACGUGGUCUCCGAUUAGUGGUUGCGCGGACGUGGCGAUGGAUUUUCCCGUAGCUCCGAUGGACAGGUUGCCCAUAUUCCCGGAUGAGGCAUCUAGCGCGGCGGCCCUAAUUGAAUUGAUUGGUGGGGCUGGUCGUGCGAAAAGGAAUUAGCCAACGGAUCUCGCCGGGCGGUGGUCGGAGGAUUUGGGCGCAGCUCAGCUGGGCAGUUCGGGGGUGGUGCCAUGUGCGGCGAGGAAACAAGUGUGGCUGCCGGCAGCUCUGCCGUGUAAACGCAGAUGCCGUUGACCAGGGCGGCGUUGAAACACAUUUUGAUUGAGAUCAGGGCGCUGUGAUUUAAGAUCGAACAGGAAGUGGCGAUGGAGGCUCUGCGCAAUCGACUGGCAAGGUGGAUCCCCAAGCCUCUGGAUGGACUAAGAGGUAAUUGGGAUUUUGUGUAGAACUGCAUUCUGUAUCUUGCAACCGUAGUUGGAAUGAUGCCCUGUUUAUUUUAGUUUGUUAUGCUGGCCAGUGAAUGGUCAGUUUGAUAAAAUCAUUAUUUGGGGACUUCUUGCUGACGGCGGAGAGAGCUGCGGCCCUGAGGCCUUCUGUUGGUGGCCGUGCAUCGAGCAUGACCAAGCUAGCAAUGUUGCCAAGAGAAAGAAGAUGGCUACAUCCAUUAGCUGCUCAAGCUCCGGUGUCCUCACGUCAGGCUUGGCUUUGAGUGCUGACAGCAAAGCAUUCUACAUGGUAUGCACCCAGGUCCGCUUCAUCUGCUGGGAUAUAUCUAGGUUUGGACCUAUUGCAAAUUGCUGAUCUUCAAUAUGCUGCAUUAAUACCGGGAGGGAUCAGUUGAUGGUGUCUUCAGCCAAAUUGCUGAUCUAUCCGAUGAGAACGGGGAAGCUGCAGCCGACUCCAGAGAGGACGAUGACCACAACAUAGAGCCAUAGAGGUUGUGGCAGAGCUUGAUCCCGACGCCAACCAUCUGCUUGGCGAGGCGGAGCAGCCUGUUCUGUAAGAAUAUGACGAGUUUGUGAUGGUUUGGAAAACUGACGAAGAUUCAGAGGGUAAAGAAGAAGUGGCAAGCCACAAGCGUCCUCGCCUGUGCUAGACGCUAAAUCGAGUCAAUGGACCAGUUGACUAGAACUAGAAAUUAAGUGCGUGUAUUUUGUGUUUACGCCUCCGUGUAUUUUGCUGGAAUCUUAGUGUGUGUCCAUUGCUGGGA